rnacentral:sRNA from 1 species
UUGCCAGUCCAACAGACCAAAGUCAUCUUUUUGUUGACAAAACAGGUACAGCAUAGGCAUUAGUACAGGCUUCCUCACACUGCCCUGUGUUCAGCCUUAAAAUGUAGCUGCUGCUUCUAGGGGUGAAGAUCUAGUUCCUUCUCCAUGGCCAUUGAGUCCUUGGCCCCU